rnacentral:lncRNA from 1 species
CUUUUUUUGAGAAGUGUCUGUUCAUGUCCUUUGCCCACUCUUUAAUAGGAUUAUGAUUAUGUAAAAAAAUAUUUAUUUGAGACAGUGUCUUGCUCUUCACCCAGGCUGCCGUGCAGUGGCACAAUCUCAGCUCACUGCAGCCUCGACUUCCCAGGCUCCAGCCAUCCUCCUGCUUCAGCCUCCUGAGUAGCUGGGACCACAGGCGCAUAAUGUCAUCUUUGUCAUUUCUGAUUGUGCUCAUUUGAAUCUUCUGUUUUUCUUUGUU